GCCAGGCCUGUCCUGGGAUUUCCUAACCAUCUCGGACAGAAGAAAGAAAAAAGACAUUGUGGAAAGGUGGCUGAGCUUUUGGAGAGAAAAGACCCUCCCUUUGGGCAUGAAGUUUGAAGAGCCAUCCACUUGUGGAGUCUGGGACUCAUCCUUCUCCACGAAAGGUUUAUGAAGCAGACAGAGGCCAGGGCUUCUGAGAAUUUCCAACCUCGAUAUUUUCACUUUAUGGUUUUUCACGAAGUCAGCAUGAACACGGUUAAUGUUUUCUCAUUAAGCUACUUUUUGUUUUCUUUCAGUAGCUGACAUUCAAAGCCUGGGCGCAUUCUUUCACGACGUUGCUACUCUGACAGCUCAACACAUUCGCGAUGGGAACUCAUAUCUGUUUUGAUGAGGGAGACCAGAGGGAAAAGAGCAUUCACGUACAGAAAUACCCUUUGUGGCUACUUCUGUCAGCUCCUGUCCUCACAGGGCCAGGGCCUACCUGGGGGAGAGACGACAGGGCUCAGUAAUUCCAAGAGCGGACAUGCGCGAGAUGCGUCUCCAAGAAUGUUCUCCCCUGCAUGGUCUGGCAGGGGACGUUGGAAACAACCUAAACGUCCAGCAAUAGGGGACAACAGAUUGUAUCACUCAGAUGUGCUGGUGUCAAAGGCUGUGCUAGGAUAUUUAAUCCCAAGGAAAGUGUUUACAACUGAGUUGGUGGAAAGGAGGUUACAAUUCAAAUGAUUUUUUUUUAAGAUACAUACAUACUUUUUUUAUUAUUAUUUAUUUUUCAGUAUCACUCUGUUGCCCAGGUUGGAGUGCAGCGGUGUGAUCUUGGCUCACUGCAACCUCCGCUCCCUGGGUUCAAGCGAUCCUUCCACCUCAGCCUCCACAGCAGCUGGGACUGCAAGCAUGCGCCACCACACCCAGCUAAUUUUUGUAUUUUUAGUAGAGAUGGGGUUUCACCAUGUUGGCCAGGCUGGUCUUGAACUCCUGACCUCAGGUGAUCCACCCACCUUGGCCUCCCAAAGUGCUGGGAUUACAGGAGUGAGCCACCGCACCCAGCUGAAUCUCAUUUUUCAAGAUGAAAAGAGUUCUGGAGAUGGAUGGUGGCGGUGAUCCACACAGCUUUAUGAAUGUAUUAAUUCCUCUGAACUGUACAUUUAGAAAUGGUUAGGAU
rnacentral:lncRNA from 10 species